GGGACACGUGGUAUCCUGUCUGAAUAUGGGGGGACCAUCCUCCAAGGCUAAAUACUCCUGACUGACCGAUAGUGAACCAGUACCGUGAGGGAAAGGCGAAAAGAACCCCGGCGAGGGGAGUGAAAAAGAACCUGAAACCGUGUACGUACAAGCAGUGGGAGCACAGAGCAAUCUGUGUGACUGCGUACCUUUUGUAUAAUGGGUCAGCGACUUAUAUUCUGUAGCAAGGUUAACCGAAUAGGGGAGCCGAAGGGAAACCGAGUCUUAACUGGGCGUUAAGUUGCAGGGUAUAGACCCGAAACCCGGUGAUCUAGCCAUGGGCAGGUUGAAGGUUGGGUAACACUAACUGGAGGACCGAACCGACUAAUGUUGAAAAAUUAGCGGAUGACUUGUGGCUGGGGGUGAAAGGCCAAUCAAACCGGGAGAUAGCUGGUUCUCCCCGAAAGCUAUUUAGGUAGCGCCUCGUGAAUUCAUCUCCGGGGGUAGAGCACUGUUUCGGCAAGGGGGUCAUCCCGACUUACCAACCCGAUGCAAACUGCGAAUACCGGAGAAUGUUAUCACGGGAGACACACGGCGGGUGCUAACGUCCGUCGUGAAGAGGGAAACAACCCAGACCGCCAGCUAAGGUCCCAAAGUCAUGGUUAAGUGGGAAACGAUGUGGGAAGGCCCAGACAGCCAGGAUGUUGGCUUAGAAGCAGCCAUCAUUUAAAGAAAGCGUAAUAGCUCACUGGUCGAGUCGGCCUGCGCGGAAGAUGUAACGGGGCUAAACCAUGCACCGAAGCUGCGGCAGCGACGCUGAUGCGUUGUUGGGUAGGGGAGCGUUCUGUAAGCCUGUGAAGGUGUGCUGUGAGGCAUGCUGGAGGUAUCAGAAGUGCGAAUGCUGACAUAAGUAACGAUAAAGCGGGUGAAAAGCCCGCUCGCCGGAAGACCAAGGGUUCCUGUCCAACGUUAAUCGGGGCAGGGUGAGUCGACCCCUAAGGCGAGGCCGAAAGGCGUAGUCGAUGGGAAACAGGUUAAUAUUCCUGUACUUGGUGUUACUGCGAAGGGGGGACGGAGAAGGCUAUGUUGGCCGGGCGACGGUUGUCCCGGUUUAAGCGUGUAGGCUGGUUUUCCAGGCAAAUCCGGAAAAUCAAGGCUGAGGCGUGAUGACGAGGCACUACGGUGCUGAAGCAACAAAUGCCCUGCUUCCAGGAAAAGCCUCUAAGCAUCAGGUAACAUCAAAUCGUACCCCAAACCGACACAGGUGGUCAGGUAGAGAAUACCAAGGCGCUUGAGAGAACUCGGGUGAAGGAACUAGGCAAAAUGGUGCCGUAACUUCGGGAGAAGGCACGCUGAUAUGUAGGUGAAGUCCCUCGCGGAUGGAGCUGAAAUCAGUCGAAGAUACCAGCUGGCUGCAACUGUUUAUUAAAAACACAGCACUGUGCAAACACGAAAGUGGACGUAUACGGUGUGACGCCUGCCCGGUGCCGGAAGGUUAAUUGAUGGGGUCAGCGCAAGCGAAGCUCUUGAUCGAAGCCCCGGUAAACGGCGGCCGUAACUAUAACGGUCCUAAGGUAGCGAAAUUCCUUGUCGGGUAAGUUCCGACCUGCACGAAUGGCGUAAUGAUGGCCAGGCUGUCUCCACCCGAGACUCAGUGAAAUUGAACUCGCUGUGAAGAUGCAGUGUACCCGCGGCAAGACGGAAAGACCCCGUGAACCUUUACUAUAGCUUGACACUGAACAUUGAGCCUUGAUGUGUAGGAUAGGUGGGAGGCUUUGAAGUGUGGACGCCAGUCUGCAUGGAGCCGACCUUGAAAUACCACCCUUUAAUGUUUGAUGUUCUAACGUUGACCCGUGAUCCGGGUUGCGGACAGUGUCUGGUGGGUAGUUUGACUGGGGCGGUCUCCUCCUAAAGAGUAACGGAGGAGCACGAAGGUUGGCUAAUCCUGGUCGGACAUCAGGAGGUUAGUGCAAUGGCAUAAGCCAGCUUGACUGCGAGCGUGACGGCGCGAGCAGGUGCGAAAGCAGGUCAUAGUGAUCCGGUGGUUCUGAAUGGAAGGGCCAUCGCUCAACGGAUAAAAGGUACUCCGGGGAUAACAGGCUGAUACCGCCCAAGAGUUCAUAUCGACGGCGGUGUUUGGCACCUCGAUGUCGGCUCAUCACAUCCUGGGGCUGAAGUAGGUCCCAAGGGUAUGGCUGUUCGCCAUUUAAAGUGGUACGCGAGCUGGGUUUAGAACGUCGUGAGACAGUUCGGUCCCUAUCUGCCGUGGGCGCUGGAGAACUGAGGGGGGCUGCUCCU
rnacentral:rRNA from 1 species